rnacentral:rRNA from 1 species
UACGAAGGGAGCUAGCGUUGUUCGGAAUCACUGGGCGUAAAGCGCACGUAGGCGGAUGUGUCAGUCAGGGGUGAAAUCCCGGAGCUCAACUUCGGAACUGCCCUUGAUACAGCACGUCUUGAGUCCGGAAGAGGUGGGUGGAAUUCCUAGUGUAGAGGUGAAAUUCGUAGAUAUUAGAAGACACGGUGGCGAAGGCGGCCCACUGGUCCGGUACUGACGCUGAGGUGCGAAAGCGUGGGGAGCAAACAGG